rnacentral:rRNA from 1 species
ACGGCUCAGUAACACGUAGUCAACCUAACCUAUGGACGGGAAUAACCUCGGGAAACUGAGAAUAAUGCCCGAUAGAACACUAUACCUGGAAUGGUUUGUGUUCCAAAUGAUUUAUCGCCAUAGGAUGGGACUGCGGCCUAUCAGUUUGUUGGUGAGGUAAUGGCCCACCAAGACUAUUACAGGUACGGGCUCUGAGAGGAGUAGCCCGGAGAUGGGUACUGAGACACGGACCCAGGCCCUAUGGGGCGCAGCAGGCGAGAAAACUUUGCAAUGUGCGAAAGCACGACAAGGUUAAUCCGAGUGAUUUCUGCUAAAGAGAUCUUUUGUUAGUCCUAGAAACACUAACGAAUAAGGGGUGGGCAAGUUCUGGUGUCAGCCGCCGCGGUAAAACCAGCACCUCAAGUGGUCAGGAUGAUUAUUGGGCCUAAAGCAUCCGUAGCCGGCUCUGUAAGUUUUCGGUUAAAUCUGUACGCUCAACGUACAGGCUGCCGGGAAUACUGCAGAACUAGGGAGUGGGAGAGGUAGACGGUACUCGGUAGGAAGUGGUAAAAUGCUUUGAUCUAUCGAUGACCACCUGUGGCGAAGGCGGUCUACCAGAACACGUCCGACGGUGAGGGAUGAAAGCUGGGGGAGCAAACCGGAUUAGAUACCCGGGUAGUCCCAGCUGUAAACUAUGCAAACUCAGUGAUGCAUUGGCUCGUGGCCAAUGCAGUGCUGCAGGGAAGCCGUUAAGUUUGCCGCCUGGGAAGUACGUACGCAAGUAUGAAACUUAAAGGAAUUGGCGGGGGAGCAC